CCUACGGGAGGCAGCAGUGAGGAAUAUUGGUCAAUGGACGAGAGUCUGAACCAGCCAAGUAGCGUGAAGGAUGACUGCCCUAUGGGUUGUAAACUUCUUUUAUAAAGGAAUAAAACGAGGCACGUGUGCCUUUUUGCAUGUACUUUAUGAAUAAGGAUCGGCUAACUCCGUGCCAGCCGCCGCGGUAAUACGGAGGAUCCGAGCGUUAUCCGGAUUUAUUGGGUUUAAAGGGAGCGUAGAUGGGUUGUUAAGUCAGUUGUGAAAGUUUGCGGCUCAACCGUAAAAUUGCAAUUGAUACUGGCAGUCUUGAGUACAGUUGAGGUAAGCGGAAUUCGUGGUGUAGCGGUGAAAUGCUUAGAUAUCACGAAGAACCCCGAUUGCGAAGGCAGCUUACUAAACUGUGACUGACAUUGAUGCUCGAAAGUGUGGGUAUCAAACAGGAUUAGAUACCCGUGUAGUC
rnacentral:rRNA from 1 species